AUGGUCUGUGAUUUGCUGCAGGACAGCAUCCACAACAAACUGCGAACCACAGCACGGUGUAACAGAGUAGCCUCAAAUUUCCAUCAAAGGAAUGAGUUGUCUGAGGAAGCAAUGUGUUCCUCAUCCUUUAAGAGACUGAGGCAGCAAGGAGAAUGUUGGGGAAAGGAACUUUGGGCUGAAUUGAAGGUCAUCUCCGUGGAAUCGCCUCCGGCUGAGUUCAGUCCUCUCAGUAUGUUCCUUACUGCUGCCCUUCCAGGCUGUGCCACAACCACCCUCAUCCCUGCAGUCCAAAACACAAGAACUGGACACGUUUGUACGUUGUUUUGCGUAGCUUUUCUCAGUUUCAUAUUUAA
rnacentral:lncRNA from 1 species